AAAGUCUGAUGGAGCAACGCCGCGUGAGUGAAGAAGGGUUUCGGCUCGUAAAACUCUGUUGUUAAAGAAGAACAUAUCUGAGAGUAACUGUUCAGGUAUUGACGGUAUUUAACCAGAAAGCCACGGCUAACUACGUGCCAGCAGCCGCGGUAAUACGUAGGUGGCAAGCGUUGUCCGGAUUUAUUGGGCGUAAAGCGAGCGCAGGCGGUUUUUUAAGUCUGAUGUGAAAGCCUUCGGCUUAACCGAAGAAGUGCGUCGGAAACUGGGAAACUUGAGUGCAGAAGAGGACAGUGGAACUCCAUGUGUAGCGGUGAAAUGCGUAGAUAUAUGGAAGAACACCAGUGGCGAAGGCGGCUGUCUGGUCUGUAACUGACGCUGAGGCUCGAAAGUAUGGGUAGCAAACAGGAUUAGAUACCCUGGUAGUCCAUACCGUAAACGAUGAAUGCUAAGUGUUGGAGGGUUUCCGCCCUUCAGUGCUGCAGCUGACGCAUUAAGCAUUCCGCCUGGGGAGUACGGCCGCAAGGCUGAAACUCAAAGGAAUUGACGGGGGCCCGCACAAGCGGUGGAGCAUGUGGUUUAAUUCGAAGCUACGCGAAGAACCUUACCAGGUCUUGACAUACUAUGCAAAUCUAAGAGAUUAGACGAUCCCUUCGGGGACAUGGAUACAGGUGGUGCAUGGU
rnacentral:rRNA from 2 species